GUUUCAGCAGCCGCGGUAAUACGUAGGGUGCGAGCGUUGUCCGGAAUUAUUGGGCGUAAAGGGCUCGUAGGCGGUUUGUCGCGUCGGGAGUGAAAACCAGGUGCUUAACACCUGGCUUGCUUUCGAUACGGGCAGACUAGAGGUAUGCAGGGGAGAACGGAAUUCCUGGUGUAGCGGUGAAAUGCGCAGAUAUCAGGAGGAACACCGGUGGCGAAGGCGGUUCUCUGGGCAUGACCUGACGCUGAGGAGCGAAAGUGUGGGGAGCGAACAGGAUUAGAUACCCUGGUAGUCCACACCGUAAACGUUGGGCGCUAGGUGUGGGGUCCAUUCCACGGAUUCCGUGCCGCAGCUAACGCAUUAAGCGCCCCGCCUGGGGAGUACGGCCGCAAGGCUAAAACCCAAAGGAAUUGACGGGGGCCCGCACAAGCGGCGGAGCAUGCGGAUUAAUUCGAUGCAACGCGAAGAACCUUACCUGGGUUUGACAUACACCCUGCCGCUCCAGAGAUGGGGCUUCUUUUGGGGGUGUACAGGUGGUGCAUGGCUGUCGUCAGCUCGUGUCGUGAGAUGUUGGGUUAAGUCCCGCAACGAGCGCAACCCUCGUUCUAUGUUGCCAGCACGUAAUGGUGGGGACUCAUAGGAGACUGCCGGGGUCAACUCGGAGGAAGGUGGGGAUGACGUCAAGUCAUCAUGCCCCUUAUGUCCAGGGCUUCACGCAUGCUACAAUGGCCGGUACAAAGGGCUGCGAUCCCGUAAGGGGGAGCGAAUCCCAAAAAGCCGGUCUCAGUUCGGAUUGGGGUCUGCAACUCGACCCCAUGAAGUCGGAGUCGCUAGUAAUCGCAGAUCAGCAACGCUGCGGUGAAUACGUUCCCGGGCCUUGUACACACCGCCCGUCAAAC
rnacentral:rRNA from 1 species